rnacentral:rRNA from 1 species
UACGUAGGGGGCUAGCGUUGUCCGGAUUUAUUGGGCGUAAAGAGCGUGUAGGCGGCUAGAUAGGUCCGUUGUGAAAACUCGAGGCUCAACCUCGAGACGUCGAUGGAAACCAUCUGGCUAGAGUCCGGAAGAGGAGAGUGGAAUUCCUGGUGUAGCGGUGAAAUGCGUAGAGAUCGGAAAGAACACCAACGGCGAAAGCACUCUGCUGGGCCGACACUGACACUGAGAGACGAAAGCUAGGGGAGCGAAUGGG